rnacentral:rRNA from 1 species
CCUGGAACCUUACCUGGGCUAGAAUGUAUUUUGCUACCUUGAGAAAUUAAGGGUUCCUUCGGGACGGAAUACAAGGUGCUGCAUGGCUGUCGUCAGCUCGUGCCGUGAGGUGUUGGGUUAAGUCCUAUAACGAGCGAAACCCUUUUACUUAAUUGCCAGCACGUAAUGGUGGGGACUUUAAGUAGACUGCCCGUGUAAGCGGGAGGAAGGAGAGGAUGAGGUCAAGUCAUCAUGGCCUUUAUGCCCAGGGCUACACACGUACUACAAUGGCAUGUACAAAGGGAAGCUACUUGGUAACAAGAUGCAAAUCUUAAAAGCAUGUCUCAGUUCGGAUUGAGGUCUGCAAUUCGACCUCAUGAAGUUGGAAUCGCUAGUAAUCGCGUAUCAGCAAUGACGCGGUGAAUACGUUCUCGGACCUUGUACACACCGCCCAUCAAGCCAUGGGAGUUGGUAGAGCUUGAAAACAGUGGCA